rnacentral:rRNA from 1 species
UACAGAGGUCUCAAGCGUUGUUCGGAUUCAUUGGGCGUAAAGGGUGCGUAGGUGGCGCUGUAAGUCAGGUGUGAAAUUUCGGAGCUCAACUCCGAAACUGCAUUUGAUACUACGGUGCUUGAGGACUGGAGAGGAGACUGGAAUUCACGGUGUAGCAGUGAAAUGCGUAGAUAUCGUGAGGAAGACCAGUGGCGAAGGCGGGUCUCUGGACAGUUCCUGACACUGAGGCACGAAGGCCAGGGGAGCAAACGGG